UGCGCAACACUAGUCCUCUAUGACCAUAAAGUAAAUAGUUUUGGGUUGUGGACAAAAGUCAAUUAAUCAAUUAUUUGUCAACUAUUACAUUCAACAGGAACCAGUUCGAUAAUUGAUUAAUAGUUUUGAUUUAGUUUUUAUGUCCAAAUUCUCUCACUUCAGUUAAUGAGAGUAAAAUAAAUAUCUUUAAAUUUCGGACAAAACAAGACAUUUGUGGACAUAUAAAGGAUAUUUUAUGGAUCAAACACCUAAUCAAUUAAAUGAGAAAAUGAUCAGAUUAAUCAAUAAUAAUAAAAAAUAAUAAUCAUUAGCAGUAUCCAGUAUUUUAAUUUUAAUAGAUUUAUUUUAGGGGUAUUUUGUUUCAAGAUACAUUACGUAACCUCUGCACACGACCCUGAGCUACCUGGCGGUCUCACUGAGGGCCGUGUGCAGCUCAUUUGCAUAACACCACCUGGACGUCACGAUGAUGGACUAACAAGGACCUGGAGAUGUACUUUUAUCUGGAUUUAAAGAAGUGUUUUGGGCGUCAGGACGUCUUCAGGCCUGACUUGCAGCCACCAGUUCAGCUUCAUCACCUGGCCAUGAUGAAGGAUCACACUUGGAGGUGCUGGCAUGCAGUUACUGGAAUAAAAAAGAGUUCCCACAUCUCCUGAAAGGUGUGAUCCUCGAACCCUUUCUGGCCGUAGAUACACCUGUCGACGUUGGCCUCGAGGAGACUGGA